CCUCGGAGAGCAGAAAAGUCUCUCCGGCGAGCGAAAGGAGGAAGGGGAAGGAAGUGCCGGGGCCCCUCAUGCGCUGCCGGGGUGGGCUGUCGGUGAACUGUGGCCGAGCGAGUGGCAACAACAUAGCCACCCCCUCCCUCCUCGCUGCCAGUACGUAAACGCUGCUGGUGGUUGUCAUUUGUCUUCCCAGGUUGCUUUGUGCAAUGGUGAAUUGCUGAACUGGAUUUAUGGAUGGUCGAAGCUUGAAUUGCCUCUGAACUGAGAAGAGGAGUGGAGUAGGCUGCCGCUCCUACUCCACAAUAAAGCAGGAUUCUGUGUGAAUGCACGAUACAAGCCCAUGAUGGAUCG